rnacentral:lncRNA from 10 species
UACUGCUUCAUUUCUGAGGAUAUGAUGCAUUUCUCCAUUUAUGUUACAACUCCUGCUAGCAGUUUAGGUGGAAUUCAGAAAGUUUUCAGUGCAUGUGUGUGAAACAGAAAAGACCUCUAUGGAACCAGGACACAUACAUUUAACAUGUAUAUUUGAACAAAAAUGCUGUCUCAGUAUUUUCUCCUACCUGUGUAGCUUCAAUACAUUUAAACUAUUUUUCCUCCUCUUUCUAUCUCACAGCAGGCAUCACUGCAGCAACAGGGAAGCAAUCAGCUGAGGAUUGGGAAAAUGCAUCUAGUUUCACUUUUAUCACCUUUUCAGCUGUGCUUGUUCUUGGAAACAUUGUAUCUUCUUUUGUUAUGAAUUGCUGAAAGCAGGCAGAUACACCAAGUUUUCCACCUGCCUCCUGCUCAGAGAAAGAGGAUUCUGUUAUGGCAAUUAAAUACAGAAAUACAGCUUAUCCCUUUUAGAUUCAGGUCCUCAUUUGACUUACUCAUUCACUGUGAUCACCUCAGUCUCUUUGUGUUUCAGGUAUCUCAGCGGUAGCCCCUGCCACAACAAUUGCCCGUGGAAGUUUCAGCACAGGUGAGUCCACUGUGUGGUGGGGAAUCCUUUCACGGGUGCUUGCUACAGUAACACGUCUUUCCUUUUGGUGCUUCUAUGCAGGAGCUCCACCGUUCCAUUCCAUGCCCCCUGAAUCUUUUCCAUUUGUGUCCUUCUUCUCCCAGCAGCCACAACUUCUCCUGGAGCAAGUGGAAUGACUGGGGUUACAACAACUGCAAAAACCACAACUUCCCUAGGAGGAGGUGGCACCACUGGAGCAGAAAUAAAAUCAGGUAGACUUUAGGGUAUUUAUAUUUAUUGUUGUAUUUUGAUAGAUUUUGU